GUUCAUGUGAUUAAUUCAGCUGUUCAACUGUUGAGUGACUCAGAAAUGAACUAAUUCUGAUUAGA